AGUAUCUGCCCAGCUUUCCGUAACACGAGUUCCAUCUGCGAUGCAGAAACACAACUACAUUUUGGGAAAUAGCUUCAAAAGGAGGAUCUUUUAUAGGUAUUUGAAAUUUUCUUAGUCCCUGAAAUUCACUGAUUUUGAUGUUUAAAGAUUAAGGAAUUACUGGAACAAAAAUAAUUAGAAAGCACAGUCUUUGUGGGUUACCAUUUGGCUACAUGAGGCUUUGCACAGGUAACAGAGCAAUCCAGACACAAAGCUAACGGCGUUGCAGAGGAAUAAUUGUAUUAUUUCCUCCGAAGUCAGACUU
rnacentral:lncRNA from 1 species